CCUACGGGCGGCAGCAGUGGGGAAUAUUGGGCAAUGGAGGCAACUCUGACCCAGCAACGCCGCGUGAAUGAUGAAGGUCUUCGGAUUGUAAAGUUCUGUGAUGGGGGAUGAACACAAUGACGGUACCUGAGUAAGAAGCCCCGGCUAACUACGUGCCAGCAGCCGCGGUAAUACGUAGGGGGCAAGCGUUAUCCGGAAUUACUGGGUGUAAAGGGAGCGUAGACGGUAAUGCAAGUCUGGAGUGAAAGGCGGGGGCCCAACCCCCGGACUGCUCUGGAAACUGUGUAACUGGAGUGCAGGAGAGGCAGGCGGAAUGCCUAGUGUAGCGGUGAAAUGCGUAGAUAUUAGGCGGA
rnacentral:rRNA from 1 species